rnacentral:lncRNA from 1 species
AGAUUCCUAGUUCUAAAAUCCCUAAGACGGCAAAAACCUAAUUGAAUCGUAGCUCGAAUAACAAAAACAGAAAAUUGCCUAAAAUCGCUCUAAGUGCAAAGUUUGCUGUGUGAAAGUCCUCUUUUCUGCCUCUCGCCUAGGACUCCUUAUAUACACGAGAAUAACAAUGAUAAAGUAUAAGAAAUCAAAAAGAGAGCAAAGUAGAUCUUAUUCCGAAUUCACGUUUGAGCGUUACAACAAGGUAAGAGCCUGGGCUACGAGAGCUGUCGGUGAGAUUCCUAGUCUAAAACCCUAAGACGGCAAUAACCUAGUUGAGUCGCAGCUCAAAUAACAAAAACGGAAAUAUGCCUAAAUCGCUCUAAGUGCUAAGUUUUCUCUCAAAAGUCCUCCUUCAUGCCUCUCGCCUAGGACUCCUUAUAUACUGGCUC